rnacentral:rRNA from 1 species
CCGGCGUGGACGGGGACUUGCGGAACACGUGUGCACCAACCUGCCUUUAUCUGGGGGAUAUUUCGAAAGGAAAUUUAAUACAUAAUAUAUUUGUCGGCAUCGAUGGAUAUUGAAAACUCCGGUGGAUAGAGAUGGGCACGCGCAAGAUUAGAUAGUUGGUGAGGUAACGGCUCACCAAGUCUACGAUCUUUAGGGGGCCUGAGAGGGUGAUCCCCCACACUGGUACUGAGACACGGACCAGACUCCUACGGGAGGCAGCAGUGAGGAAUAUUGGACAAUGGGUGAGAGCCUGAUCCAGCCAUCCCGCGUGAAGGACGACGGCCCUAUGGGUUGUAAACUUCUUUUGUAUAGGGAUAAACCUACUCUCGUGAGAGUAGCUGAAGGUACUAUACGAAUAAGCACCGGCUAACUCCGUGCCAGCAGCCGCGGUAAUACGGAGGGUGCAAGCGUUAUCCGGAUUUAUUGUUUAAAGGGUCCGUAGGCGGAUCUGUAAGUCAGUGGUGAAAUCUCACAGCUUAACUGUGAAACUGCCAUUGAUACUGCAGGUCUUGAGUGUUAUUGAAGUAGCUGGAAUAAGUAGUGUAGCGGUGAAAUGCAUAGAUAUUACUUAGAACACCAAUUGCGAAGGCAGGUUACUAAGCAACAACUGACGCUGAUGGACGAAAGCGUGGGGAGCGAACAGGAUAGAUACCCUGGUAGUCCACGCCGUAAACGAUGCUAACUCGUUUUUGGGUUUUCGGAUUCAGAGACUAAGCGAAAGUGAUAAGUUAGCCACCUGGGGAGUACGUUCGCAAGAAUGAAACUCAAAGGAAUUGACGGGGGCCCGACAAGCGGUGGAUUAUGUGGUUUAAUUCGAUGAUACCGAGGAACCUUACCAAGGCUUAAAUGGGAAAUGACAGGUUUAGAAAUAGACUUUUCUUCGGACAUUUUUCAAGGUGCUGCAUGGUUGUCGUCAGCUCGUGCCGUGAGGUGUUAGGUUAAGUCCUGCAACGAGCGCAACCCCUGUCACUAGUUGCCAUCAUUAAGUUGGGGACUCUAGUGAGACUGCCUACGCAAGUAGAGAGGAAGGUGGGGAUGACGUCAAAUCAUCACGGCCCUUACGCCUUGGGCCACACACGUAAUACAAUGGCCGGUACAGAGGGCAGCUACACAGCGAUGUGAUGCAAAUCGAAAGGGUCUCAGUUCGGAUUGGAGUCUGCAACUUACGCGACUCUAUGAAGCUGCUCAAGUCGCUAGCUCUCAAUAAUCCCG